rnacentral:misc_RNA from 1 species
UAGGAAGCAAAUCAAAGCCAUGCACGAAGUUCUUCAGCACUGCUGGAUGCCCCUUUGGUGAGAGCUGUCAUUUCCUUCAUUACGUCCCUGGUGGCUAUAGUGCAGCGACCCAGAUGAUGAAAUUGACACCAGCUCCAUCUUUGAGAAAUGCUGCAGCACCGCCUUAUUCCAAUGGAAAUGCUCCUUCUUUGAAAACCAAACUUUGCAACAGAUUCAGCACGGCGGAGGGAUGCAAAUUUGGAGACAAAUGCAAUUAUGCUCAUGGGGAGUGGGAACUUGGAAAGCCUACCAUUCCUUCACAAGAGGAUCCACGUGCAAUGGGGUUUGGAUCUAUGCCAGGUCGUUUUGGUGGUGGGCGGGUGGAAUCUGCUGCUAGUUUUGGUACAUCAGCCACUGCAAAG